AAGGAUGGGUAAGGUAUCAAAAUUGCUGCUGUUUACUUGGGACCAGUUUCUUUUUGUCAGCAGCACAACCAGUCUUCCUAGUUACCAUGUACUUGUGUCAACAAGUACAUCUAGUUGCUGAGCUAACAAUUCUUUAUUUUGUUUUUCAACUAACACCAUAUCAUUAAUAUUUUGUACGUGAAUCUUGCAGUAGCUCAGUUUGUAUAGCUUAUCGCAGACCAAGAAGGAAGAUUUCUAUACAGCUCCAAGUGAGUGACCUUGAAAGCUUCUGUCUGCUUGAACAGUGCAAACUGAAACUGCAGGAGCUGGUUUGACCACUACAGAGCAGUUUUCUAACCAAUAAAAGGUUCUGCUACA